rnacentral:rRNA from 1 species
AUGAACGCUGGCGGCGUGCCUCAUACAUGCAAGUCGAGCGAACAGACGAGGAGCUUGCUCCUCUGACGUUAGCGGCGGACGGGUGAGUAACACGUGGAUAACCUACCUAUAAGACUGGGAUAACUUCGGGAAACCGGAGCUAAUACCGGAUAAUAUAUUGAACCGCAUGGUUCAAUAGUGAAAGACGGUUUUGCUGUCACUUAUAGAUGGAUCCGCGCCGCAUUAGCUAGUUGGUAAGGUAACGGCUUACCAAGGCAACGAUGCGUAGCCGACCUGAGAGGGUGAUCGGCCACACUGGAACUGGGACACGGUCCAGACUCCUACGGGAGGCAGCAGUAGGGAAUCUUCCGCAAUGGGCGAAAGCCUGACGGAGCAACGCCGCGUGAGUGAUGAAGGUCUUCGGAUCGUAAAACUCUGUUAUUAGGGAAGAACAAAUGUGUAAGUAACUAUGCACGUCUUGACGGUACCUAAUCAGAAAGCCACGGCUAACUACGUG